GAGGGUAGAGCUUAGUGGUAGAAGCAUGUGCUUAGUAUUCAUGAGGUCCUGAGUUCAAUCCCCAGUACCUCCA
rnacentral:tRNA from 1 species